rnacentral:rRNA from 1 species
GAUGAACGCUAGCGGCAGGCUUAAUACAUGCAAGUCGAGGGGCAGCAUGAUUGUAGCAAUACAAUUGAUGGCGACCGGCAAACGGGUGCGGAACACGUACACAACCUCCCAAUAAGUGGGGAAUAGCCCAGAGAAAUUUGGAUUAAUACCCCGUAACAUAACGAUGUGGCAUCACAUUGUUAUUAUAGAUUUUUCGCUUAUUGAUGGGUGUGCGGCUGAUUAGAUAGUUGGCGGGGUAACGGCCCACCAAGUCUACGAUCAGUAGCUGAUGUGAGAGCAUGAUCAGCCAAACCGGCACUGAGACACGGGCCCGACUCCUACGGGAGGCAGCAGUAAGGAAUAUUGGACAAUGGACGCAAGUCUGAUCCAGCCAUGCCGCGUGAAGGAUUAAGGUCCUCUGGAUUGUAAACUUCUUUUAUAAGGGACGAAAAAAGGCUUUUCUAAGUCGUCUGACGGUACCUUAUGAAUAAGCACCGGCUAACUCCGUGCCAGCAGCCGCAGUAAUAC